UUGACGGUAGACCCAGUCUUACGCGGGUUGACAGCAGAAUACCCGCCAUCUUGAAACUUCCGACGCCGUCAAAUAGCUCAAUCCAACAACCAUUUCAUUGCUUCAAAUUUCCGUGUCACCCAAAAGACUAUAGCCUGAAUCGAAAAGGAGGACAUGACCAGUUAUUUGACGAUUACAGAGACGGUUGUCGAACAUUCGGGAGACGAAAGUGAUGAUGAUGAAGAUGACGAUGUUGUUGAACAAAGUCCUUGCCGGCGAUGGGAGAAGAGACGACAGGAGGUAAUGCAGCGAGAUGUUCCUGGUAUUGACCAUGCUUACCUGGCAAUGGACACUGAGGAAGGUGUUGAGGUUGUCUGGAAUGAAGUGCAAUUUUCAGAAAGAAAGGAUUUCAAAAGUCAGGAAGAUGCUGCCGAGGUAGGUGAAGGUGUCCACCUCUUCCAGCGCCUCGCCUUGGACUGUGAUGGGUGUCUCGUUGGAUGCGUUUGUCUUGAACACCUUGCUCUUCCCUCUGUUGAUGUUGAGGCCGAGCCUGGCUGAGUUGUCCGCAACGAUGAUGGUCUUUUCCUGAUACCCGUGUUAAAGUGGUUUCACUUAAUGAUAAGUCGAAUAAAUCAUAAAAGACGACACUAUAUCAUUUAUUUUCAAUGUUUGUUUUAUCUUUAGGAUUUACUCUAAUUCAAACUCAUCUCACCCCAACCCCACCCCUUCACUACCCCCUGAAACCAACAACCCGCCCCUUAGUUUUGGAACAACUCUGUUCUCGUAGUUUACUAAGGCCGUUGGGGGACUUAAAUAAGCCGCUGUGCUCGUUCAGAGAGAAGAAAAAUAGGUGAGACCAACAUAAGUUUUGACCCCUAAGUUAUAGAAAAAGUGCGUAGUCUCUAGAUCCUUUUCCCCAAAGAAUAGCAUCAUCCACUAUAAGUGCGUAAAGGCUUUUGGCAGCGCAACAUGAUAAGUUGCCAGGAAAGAUGAACUCUUUCCAAAAUGACAAAGAAGUAGGCAUUAAGAAUAAGUAAUUAGGUACAGAGUUCCAAAAUGACAAAGAAGUAGACACUAAGAAGAAGUAAUUAGGUAGAGUUUCAUUCUCUUUGCCGAGGUUAUGAUCAGGUAGCAAAUGUCAGCAAAUGUAACAAAUGUCAGCAAGUUUUGAGGUCUACCUAGUGCGAUCUUUCUCAGAAAAAUACCUGUUCAAGCGGAGCAUAAGACUUGGAAGAUCUUUAAAAGGUAAUAUAUUGUUAUAGAUUAGACGAGGGAAGACACAAAAGUAAUAAAAAAACAUCUUCCGCGUAUCAUCUUCAAUGGCUAUGUUCAUUUUAGACUUCAUUGUACAUGUCUAAACAUCGAGCUCACAUUUUGAAAAAGCAACAAAAUAGUCAACAAUAAAAUUAAGUUAGAGUUGUUAUUAGGAUAUAAUGAUCCACCAGCCUGAUAAGGCGAUCACUUUAGACAGACAGACAGACGCAGACUAGUUUUGUUAUAGAAACAGCCUAUUUUUUUAAUAUUUGCCAUUAAUAGGAAACAGUCGUAUGUCAGUUUUGCAUUUAUCCCCUCUAUAUUAGCUGUAGGAUUUAUGAUCACAGUUUUACCCUGUUAAAUCCUUUGCAUUUGACUACGAAAUUUGAUUAAUUUAAUUCUUUCUUCAGCAUUUGUAUAAUUAUGUGGUUACUUAUUGUUAGUAGAGUUAGAGCAAUUCUUUGCUUUAUAGCAGGGUUAGCUAACAGGUAGGCUAACUGAUAGGCUUCUGAUUAUUAUUCUUAAACAAUUUUCAGUUUAUUGCGUUCGUUAGUAUAUUUCCUGUUGUCAUAAGAGCCGAGUAAGCUGAGCUAAUUUUGAAAUGUUUGUUAUACUUCACACAUUCCAUAUAAAUUACUGUUUUCAAAAGAGCCUGGUCAUCCUUUGGCAAUAAACGUGUCCAGUAUUUUAUGCUUCUGAACGAUUAGUCAAUUUGGAUAAAAAUUAAAGGUUUUGCGCUGAAAUCCCAAGUCCCCUUAACUCGGGCAGAUUCGUUGUGUAGCCAUUAAGUUGUGGAGUACGUGCGCACAGGGGGUUGAACUCAGCACAGUGUAACCAAACUGGAGUUUCAUACACCAGAGGGGUAAGCUUUGAAGGAGGCUAGAUAGUAUAGAGAAGGUGAAUCGAGGACAUAUUAAACAUUAGGGAAUUAGAUCCUGGUGUAAAAACGGCAUCUAUGCAGAGGUAAAGAAAACGGAACGGGUGGGGGAAGAAAGAGAAAUUGGUUAUCCAUAAGAAAAAGAAAGGGGCUGAUAUAAUAGACAUAAAAUUAUAUUGGAUGAAUUUAAUAUACAUCGACGAAUAAACGCAUCAGAGUUUUACAUAGCGAAUUCAUUACUUUCGUCGGUUGGUCAGCCAACCGCCGCGGAUACCGUCACCCCUCUGCCUCUACUCCUUGUAAUUGGAGGGGCCAAUGUUGUACGUGGAGCAUUCUCUUCCCUUCUGCCGGAAGUACUGUUGCCGAAGAGCGACAAGUGAUAUGCCUGGUAUAAGUCCGCGGGCUUCUGGAGGGGAUGAAUUUUAGGCGUCUGCACCACGGCCUACAGGAAACAUGCCUUCUCGUGCGAUUGGCCCCUAUCUACUCUCUCUAGGACCUCCGCUGCCUCGUGCGCCCUGUAUUAAUGGAAGCCUGUUUUGUCCCGCGACUACCAUAAACCGACAAUUGCGUUUUCAUUGUUUCUUGACCGGAACCGCCGCCAGCUCAAGCUUUGAUUCUUGGAAUAGGGUUGCAACAUCAUUCUGAGUAACACAAAAAGGAAAAUAAUUAUAAACAGAAAUGAGAGCAGAGCACAAUGGGCACACAAAACACUCUACACUAUAAAGCGUGACAGGAAUUAACCACGGUUCGGCCAUUAAUCACCUCCUAGGCUGUGUAUCCACUUUCAUUUCCACUGCUAGCUGGGCUGAGAUAUAAUCUCCGGCUCGGCCAUGUCACUCAGGCAGCAACUUCAGCCAAGUGGGUAAUGUGUUCAUCGACGUCGACGUUGACGUCGCUGCGGUAAGAAUUGGUAGGAUUCCUACUGCCCAUAUAUGGGCACCGGAAGAGAAGAAAUAUUUUUAUAGGUUGCUGGUGGGUACGCUAAUUCUUUUUUUCAUUCAGGCAAUGUUAAAAUUUAUUCAAACGAUUAUUCUGAAUUUUAGAGGAUGUCGUUCCUCAAAAAUAUUGUUUAGUGAAACACCUAGCGAAAAAGUCAACCAGUCAUUUUGUUCAGUUGUUAUAGCAAGAAUAGCAAGUGUUAUAUAAAUAAUAUUUAUGCUGGUCAUUUUUGUAUUAAAAAGUAUGAGACUGGUGGACGCCACCUGAAUGUGUAAAGUGGUAUCCUUUUCUAGUACAGAUAAAGGGCGGCCGCUUGAACAAUGCUAUUUUAUGUUAAACAAGAGUGUUUCAAACGAAAAUAAGAUAAUACUGGACGAAAUAAGGAAUUUAAAUACAUUCAAGACAAAUACAAGAUGUUACUUAAAUUAAAUAGUAUUUCUAAGUUACAUUUAAGUGGGGCACUUAUAGUCAGUAUCAUUUUUAAGUAGAAAUAAGCUUUAAUUUCAUUAUACUAGUUGGACAUUAUACUAGUUGGACUAGCAGUGGUUUGAGUUUCUAAACAUCACAUUUUUUUAGGCAAAUGUCAGGAGGCAUUCGGGAUUUUCUGUUUCCUUUAACCAAGUGUUUUGUACUUGUGGGAUAGAGAAAAACGAUGCUAAAUUGUUAUUCGCAUUAUUAUAGGAUAACUUAGCAAGGGAGUAGCCAGGGGGGGGGGUGUCCCCCCUUCUAGCAGCCAGAAAUGCGGUAAAUGUAAAAUACAGGAGAAAAUUUCUUGAAAGGACCUUUUGGGCCCCUCCCUGUUAAAAACCCUGGCUACGCCGCUGCUUAGCCUAAGCAAUAAUAAUACAGCUUCAGGUGAGACCGAGAGGAAGUCAGUCAUUUGCGAGAGGAAGUGACGCGCAAGCGUAUCUAUUGUUUUCACGUGACUAUCACGGCGGGCUUUUCGCAUACCAGAGCGUGUUUAGAUGUGGGACUUUGUUCGACGUUUGCAUCUAACCUCUCAAAAGAUGCGCUAUUUCUUUCAAUCACAUCAAAUCAGAUGGCAAAUCUAAUAAUGAAAACAUUUUGAUCAAAUUGCUUUAAUUUUGAAGAGAUAACAGAGCGUUAAAAGUGAAAACCCAGCGACUGCAUGAGAACUCAACAGUAAGAAUGAAGACAAAGCUAGCUGAAAUUGUAGCCGAAAGAGAGCAUCAGGGCUUUCAGACACAGCAGUAAUAUGAUGCACUGGAUGCUACGGGCUGGUCAAGGAGCAAAGAAGAAGAAGAUACAGUAGUUUGCCAUAUGAUUGACUACCUUUUUUUGUAAUUGCUAAAAGGUUAUUUGGGAAUGUUUUGUAUGUGCUAAUGUUUACUGUAGGACAAGCAGGCAUCCCUCUUGAAAAAAAGCAUUUCCAUCAAACACGGGCUAGUCUUUUCUUAUUCUUAGAGUUUCAUUGAUCUAAAUAAUUGGAUUAUAUGAUAUCCUAUAGAUAGAGAUAGCUCAGUGAAUUUGAUUGUACAUUUAAAGUUAAAUAAAGUGUGUAUUUAUUGUA